GAUUACAUUACAUUACAGUUACAUUCGGAAAUUAUAGUUUCAACUUGAUUAGAUCGCUUUGUGAUUUGUGGUUUGUGGCUCAAGAUUUCGUCCAUUUCAAUAUGGUUAGACAAAGGCCAGACCGCGAAUACGGUCACAGCUCUAGACGAUGCCUUUCCAAGACAGGGGGGCCUCAGGAGAGAAAGUGUAAAAACAAGACGGCC